CAGUCUUACCUGCGGACAAUCAGCUUUUUGAGUGUGAUUAUGUGGAUUGUGAGGAGUUUAAUCACCCUCAUGGUUUGCAUAUUCGUGCUUUUGGGUGUAUUUGCCCGUGUGGUAGGUUAACAUCAAUUUCGGACGUCAUAAAAUGACUGGAGGAAUGUAGCUUCGAUCUCGUAUCGAAGUGUUAUAGCCUUUGGUAGAUGUGAUUAGUCGGGAUUGAGGUAUU
rnacentral:rRNA from 1 species